UUCUAAAUUUUACGGAUUCAUCAUAACAUUCUUUAGUAUCACUCAUUCAUUCUAAUGCUAUAUUUCGGUUUGCGAAUUAUCAUCACCUACUGCUACUCGUACCAUUUCCCUAAUAUUUCUGCUUAUUACUGUCUAAUCAUCAUUUAGUGAUGGCCUUUUUGCUCAACAAGUGAUAGUUGAAAUCCAAUAGAUGAAAAUGGAUGGAUACUUGUGGAAUCAUAAUCAACAUCCAUAUAAAUACUUCAAGAAUUGCAGUUAACCCGGGCUCCCCUUAUUUUGUUUCCUUUACAUUAGAGAAAUUUAGAUUAUGUUCUUUCUUAUACCAAGUCAUUCUGAAUAUUUUAUUUCUUAUAUGUUUUUGAAAUAAAUUUGGUGUAGUUAUUGCUUUGAAAGUAGAGAAUAAUUGUAAAAGAAAAUGACACUGCAAGUUUGGAACUUACAAUUCGUGGUUUUGAACCAUAGGUGAGCUCGAUUGGAGUCACUGGUGCUCGUGUAUCUGUUAGUGGAAAGGUUCAAACUCUUCUACAGGAUAUUAAACAGGUUUGUCUUCUAUAGCAUCGCAUACCAAACCUUAAAAUGUAAUAGAACUAUCUUGUAUCUCAGUAUGAAAAAGGUAUGGUGUCCUUUUAAAGACACGACACAGUCAUGCCAUUAGGUAGAUUAAGACCAAUUGCAACUGUUUAACUUAUGUUUCAUGCUAUUCACACUUGUUUGGGUGAGCAACUGAAGUAUGUGGUGCAGACAUGGAUAGACUUGCCCUUUCAUCCCAACUUAUCGGAAUUGCUGCAUUUUUCGGGCCUUGAUACAACAUUUGGAUAGGCUUUCAAAUAAUGUGAAAUUGUAAUGAGAUGCUUAGUAUUGCGUAAUGCCUAGUAUCAUGAUUUUAGUCUUGAUCACGUGUUAAUUCCACUUUGUCUGGAAUGGCAUUUGAAUGUCUGACUUGUAGACUAGUCCUAUUUAGAGCCAUAGAUUUAUGAUGUGAUUGGUUUCUAUUGUGUUUUGGUGCUUUUUGACAGGCAACAAGUAAGCCUGUAGCAGUUGGCUUUGGCAUAUCAAAACCCGAGCAUGUGAAGCAGAUGGCAGGAUGGGGAGCUGACGGUGUGAUUGUUGGUAGUGCCAUGGUGAAACUACUGAGUGAGGCAAAAUCCCCCGAAGAAGGGCUGAAAGAAUUAGAAAUCUUCACUAAAUUGUUGAAAUCUGCACUGCCUUGGCGGCUAGUUCUGCCAUUUCAGAGCCAAUUUUGUAUCUUUAGCAUCACAUCUUUUUAGACUUUCAAAAUCAUCCGAAUUUUGAGUUUUUGUACAAAUUGGAUUCAAGCUUUUGACAAUGCUUCAUUUUAAAUUGAAAUAAUUCCAUCAAUGGAAACAUUAACUUCA